CCGAGACUAGUUCCUUCGAUAUCAAUGUAAUCUAGUAAUCAUGAUUUUUUAUUUUAUUCCCAAUGAUUUUCAUGAUUACUAGAUUACAUUGAUAUCGAAGGAACUAGACUCG